CCUACGGGAGGCAGCAGUGGGGAAUAUUGCACAAUGGGCGAAACCCUGAUGCAGCGACGCCGCGUGAGUGAAGAAGUAUUUCGGUAUGUAAAGCUCUAUCAGCAGGGAAGAAGAAAGACUGUACCUGACUAAGAUGCCCCGGCUAACUACGUGCCAGCAGCCGCGGUAAUCCGGAGGGGGCCAGCGUUAACCGGAUUUACUGGGGGUGAAGGGAGCGGAGACGGUUGUGCUAGUCUGAAGUGAAAGCCCAGGGCUCAACCCGGGGACUGCUUUGGAGACUGCGGAGCGAGAGUGCAGGAGAGGUAAGUGGAAUUCCUGGUGUAGCGGGGAAAUGCGUAGAUAUUAGGAGGAACACCAGUGGCGAAGGCGGCUUACGGGACAGUAACUGACGUUGAGGAUCGAAAGCGUGGGUAGCAAACAGGAUUAGAUACCCGUGUAGUC
rnacentral:rRNA from 1 species